AGCCCGUGGGUUGAAGCAGGGGCCAAGCUUCUACGGGAGGCAGCAGGCGGGAGUUUUGGACAUUGGGCGAAACCUUGUUCCAGCAAUCCCGAGUGAGUGAUGAAGUCCUUAGGGUUGUAAAGGUCUUUUAGCAAGGAAAAUAAUGACGUUACUGGCAGAAAAAGCCCCGGCUAACUCCGUGCCAGCAGCCGCGGUAAGACGGAGGGGGCUAGCGUUGUUCGGAAUUACUGGGCGUAAAGAGUGCGUAGGCGGUUUAGUAAGUUGGAAGUGAAAGCCCGGGGCUUAACCUCGGAAUUGCUUUCAAAACUACUAAUCUAGAGUGUAGUAGGGGAUGAUGGAAUUCCUAGUGUAGAGGUGAAAUUCUUAGAUAUUAGGAGGAACACCGGUGGCGAAGGCGGUCAUCUGGGCUACAACUGACGCUAAUGCACGAAAGCGUGGGGAGCAAACAGGAUUAGAUACCCUGGUAGUCCACGCCGUAAACGAUGAGUGCUAGAUGUCGGAAGAUUCUCUUUCGGUUUCGCAGCUAACGCAUUAAGCACUCCGCCUGGAGAGUACGGUCGCAAGAUUAAAACUCAAAGGAAUUGACGGGGGCUCGCACAAGCGGUGGAGCAUGCGGUUUAAUUCGAUGUUACGCGAAAAACCUUACCAACCCUUGACAUGGUGGUCGCGGAUCGCAGAGAUGCUUUCCUUCAGCUCGGCUGGGACCGCACACAGGUGUUGCACGGCUGUCGUCAGCUCGUGUCGUGAGAUGUUGGGUUAAGUCCCGCAACGAGCGCAACCCUCAUUCUUAUUUGCCAGCGGGUAAUGCCGGGAACUAUAAGAAAACUGCUGGUGAUAAGCCAGAGGAAGGUGGGGACGACGUCAAGUCAUCAUGGCCCUUACGGGUUGGGCUACACGCGUGCUACAAUGGUGUUUACAGAGGGAAGCAAGACGGCGACGUGGAGCAAAUCCCUAAAAGACAUCUCAGUUCGGAUUGUUCUCUGCAACUCGAGAGCAUGAAGUUGGAAUCGAUAGUAAUCGCGGAUCAGCAUCCCGCGGUGAAUACGUUGUCGGGCCUUUGCACACUACCCGUCACGCCAUGGGAGUUGGUUUUACCUGAAGGUGGGAGUCGAAGAAGAGGCACACACCUACGGUACAGAGGCUGGUUCCUCCAUCCCAUCGUUAUACAAAAC
rnacentral:rRNA from 1 species